CAAGAUAUGAACAAAGCAAAGACAC
rnacentral:piRNA from 2 species